rnacentral:rRNA from 1 species
GUGAGGAAUAUUGGUCAAUGGGCGGGAGCCUGAACCAGCCAAGUCGCGUGAAGGAAGAAGGAUCUAUGGUUCGUAAACUUCUUUUGUAGGGGAAUAAAGUGCAGGACGUGUCCUGUUUUGUAUGUACCCUGAGAAUAAGGAUCGGCUAACUCCGUGCCAGCAGCCGCGGUAAUACGGAGGAUCCGAGCGUUAUCCGGAUUUAUUGGGUUUAAAGGGUGCGUAGGUGGUUUGAUAAGUCAGCGGUGAAAGUUUGCAGCUUAACUGUAAAAAUGCCGUUGAAACUGGCGGACUUGAGUGUAAAUGAGGUAGGCGGAAUGCGUGGUGUAGCGGUGAAAUGCAUAGAUAUCACGCAGAACUCCGAUUGCGAAGGCAGCUUACUAAGCUACAACUGACACUGAAGCACGAAAGCGUGGGGAUCAAACAGGAUUAGAAACCCCGGUAGUCC